GUACGGAGGAUCCGAGCGUUAUCCGGAUUUAUUGGGUUUAAAGGGUGCGCAGGCGGGAGAUUAAGUCGGCGGUGAAAUUUUGCAGCUCAACUGUAAAAGUGCCUUCGAAACUGGUUUCCUUGAGUGUAGAUGAAGUAGGCGGAAUUUGUGGUGUAGCGGUGAAAUGCAUAGAUAUCACGAGGAACUCCGAUUGCGCAGGCAGCUUACUAAACUACUACUGACGCUCAGGCACGAAGGCGUGGGGAUCAAACAGGAUUAGAUACCCUGGUAGUCCACGCAGUAAACGAUGAUUACUAGCUGUUUGCGAUACAAUGUAAGCGGCUGAGCGAAAGCGUUAAGUAAUCCACCUGGGGAGUACGUUCGCAAGAAUGAAACUUAAAGGAAUUGACGGGG
rnacentral:rRNA from 1 species